rnacentral:rRNA from 1 species
GGGGGCAACCCUGAUCCAGCAAUGCCGCGUGAGUGAUGAAGGCCUUCGGGUUGUAAAGCUCUUUUGUCAGGGACGAUAAUGACGGUNCCUGACGAAUAAGCUCCGGCUAACUUCGUGCCAGCAGCCGCGGUAAUACGAAGGGAGCUAGCGUUNUUCGGAAUUACUGGGCGUAAAGGGCGCGUAGGCGGUCUUAUAAGUUUGGUGUGAAAGCCCUGGGCUUAACCUAGGAAUAGCAUUGGAUACUGUAAGACUUGAGACCGAGAGAGGGAAAUGGAAUUGCGAGUGUAGAGGUGAAAUUNGUAGAUAUUCGCAAGAACNCCAGUGGCGAAGGCGAUUUCCUGGCUCGGUACUGACGCUAAGGCGCGAAAGCGUGGGGAGCAAACAGGAUUAGAUNCCCUGGUAGUCCNCGCUGUAAACGAUGAAUGCUAGAUGUUGGGGAUUAAAAUCUUCAGUGUCG